UACAGAGGGGGCAAGCGUUAUUCGGAAUUAUUGGGCGUAAAGGGCGCGUAGGCGGCUUUGCAAGUGACGGGUGAAAUCCCUCGGCUUAACCGAGGAACUGCCUGUCAAACUGCAUGGCUUGAGACCGGGAGAGGUGAGUGGAAUUCCCAGUGUAGCGGUGAAAUGCGUAGAUAUUGGGAGGAACACCAGUGGCGAAGGCGGCUCACUGGACUGGUACUGACGCUGAGGCGCGAAAGCGUGGGGAGCAAACAGG
rnacentral:rRNA from 1 species